rnacentral:rRNA from 1 species
UACGGAGGUGGCAAGCGUUGCUCGGAAUUACUGGGCGUAAAGGGCUCGUAGGCGGCCAACUAAGUCAGACGUGAAAUCCCUCGGCUUAACCGGGGAACUGCGUCUGAUACUGGAUGGCUUGAAUCCGGGAGAGGGAUGCGGAAUUCCAGGUGUAGCGGUGAAAUGCGUAGAUAUCUGGAGGAACACCGGUGGCGAAGGCGGCAUCCUGGACCGGCAUUGACGCUGAGGAGCGAAAGCCAGGGGAGCAAACGGG